UACGUAGGGUGCGAGCGUUGUCCGGAAUUAUUGGGCGUGAAGGGCUCGUAGGCGGUUUGUCGCGUCGGGAGUGAAAACCUUGGGCUUAACUCAGGGCUUGCUUUCGAUACGGGCAGACUAGAGGUAUGCAGGGGAGAACGGAAUUCUCGGUGUAGCAGUGAAAUGCGUAGAUAUCGAGAGGAACACCAGUGGCGAAGGCGAGUCCCUGGACAACACCUGACACUGAGGCACGAAAGCUAGGGGAGCAAACAGG
rnacentral:rRNA from 1 species